CCUGGCGGCAGGCCUAAUACAUGCAAGUCGAGCGGAAACGAUGGAGCUUGCUCCAGGCGUCGAGCGGCGGACGGGUGAGUAACGCGUAGGAAUCUGCCCAGUAGAGGGGGAUAGCCCGGGGAAACUCGGAUUAAUACCGCAUACGCCCUACGGGGGAAAGCAGGGGAUCUUCGGACCUUGCGCUAUUGGAUGAGCCUGCGUUGGAUUAGCUUGUUGGUGGGGUAAAGGCCUACCAAGGCGACGAUCCAUAGCUGGUCUGAGAGGAUGAUCAGCCACACUGGGACUGAGACACGGCCCAGACUCCUACGGGAGG
rnacentral:rRNA from 1 species